rnacentral:rRNA from 1 species
UACGGAGGGUCCAAGCGUUAUCCGGAAUCAUUGGGUUUAAAGGGUCCGUAGGCGGUUUUGUAAGUCAGUGGUGAAAGCCCAUCGCUCAACGGUGGAACGGCCAUUGAUACUGCAAGACUUGAAUUAUUGGGAAGUAACUAGAAUAUGUAGUGUAGCGGUGAAAUGCUUAGAGAUUACAUGGAAUACCAAUUGCGAAGGCAGGUUACUAACAAUAUAUUGACGCUGAUGGACGAAAGCGUGGGGAGCGAACAGG